rnacentral:rRNA from 1 species
CGGCCGCGUCGACGGGGCUAGCGUUGUUCGGAAUUACUCGGGCGUAAAGCGCACGUAGGCGGCUUUGUUAAGUUAGAGGUGUAAAGCCUGGACGCUUUAACUCCAGAACUGCCUUUAAGACUGCAUCGCUUGAAUCCAGGAGAGGUGAGUGGAAUUCCGAGUGUAGAGGUGAAAUUCGUAGAUAUUCGGAAGAACACCAGUGGCGAAGGCGGCUCACUGGACUGGUAUUGACGCUGAGGUGCGAAAGCGUGGGGAGCAAACAGGAUUAGAUACCCUCGGUAGUCCACGCCGUAAACUAUGAUAACUAGCUGUCCGGGUGCUUGGCAUUUGGGUGGCGCAGCUAACGCAUUAAGUUAUCCGCCUGGGGAGUACGGUCGCAAGAUUAAAACUCAAAGGAAUUGACGGGGGCCUGCACAAGCAGUGGAGUAUGUGGUUUAAUUCGAAGCAACGC